UCUUAUGUACAUGCCUACAACAAUAAUGCAUCGGAUCCCAUCAAAACUCUGCAAUUAAGUGUGUUUGGUCUAGAUUAGUACUGGGAUGGGUGACCUCCUAGGAAUUCCUAGUGUUUUACAUGCC
rfam:Picea glauca, whole genome shotgun sequence.